rnacentral:rRNA from 1 species
AUGCUUGCAUCUCCUCGCCUACGUUUUCUGUUGUCAUUAAUGGGUAGCCUUCUAAAAAAUUUAACAAUUCUAGGGGUAUUUGUCAAGGUUGUCCUAUGUCUCCUUAUUUAUUUGUUAUUGCUAUCAAUGAACUCUCCAUUGCCCUUAAUGACGCUCUUGCUGCUCAUCAAUUACAGGGUAUCUCUCUUGGACCAAAUUGCCCCUCCAUUCACUCUCUUUUAUUUGCGGAUGACUUAUUUUUUUGUGGACAAGCCACUUUGCAAGAAGCUCACACUAUGGAUAAUCUUAUAA